rnacentral:tRNA from 1 species
CCUUAGCUCAGUCGGUAGAGCAACUGACUUUUAAUCAGUAGGUCGCAGGUUCGACCCCUGCAG